AAAUAAACCUUAUUGUAGCGGCUAUCCUUUUUGUAGCAGCAACCAACAACAUUCUGCUAACUUUCACAAAAAGAUAGGAGCGGAAAGAAGGACUACCC
rfam:Spinacia oleracea cultivar SynViroflay scaffold87513.con0048.1, whole genome shotgun sequence.